GGAAUUUUGGGCAAUGGGCGAAAGCCUGACCCAGCAACGCCGCGUGAAGGAUGAAGUCCCUCGGGAUGUAAACUUCGUAAGCAUAGGAAGAAUAAAUGACGGUACUAUGCGUAAGCUCCGGCUAACUACGUGCCAGCAGCCGCGGUAAUACGUAGGGAGCAAGCGUUGUUCGGAUUUACUGGGCGUAAAGGGUGCGUAGGCGGCGCGUAAAGUCACUUGUGAAAUCUCCGGGCUUAACUCGGAACGGCCAAGUGAUACUGUCGUGCUAGAGUGCGGAAUGGGCAACUGGAAUUCUUGGUGUAGCGGUGAAAUGCGUAGAUAUCAAGAGGAACACCUGAGGUGAAGACGGGUUGCUGGGCUGACACUGACGCUGAGGCGCGAAAGCCAGGGGAGCAAA
rnacentral:rRNA from 1 species